UAUUGUGACGUAAAAUCCUAGAUACGAAACCUUCUAAAACACCUCGCUAUGACGUCACAACAUGGCGGCGCCCAUGCCGAGACGUAGCUUACCUGAGGCAGCACAAGUCAACACCAAAGUCGCUACAUACAUUACGCCACAUCAGGUAGACUGAUGGAACGAGGUGAAGAGAUGGCUUGGAUCUGUUUUACAUACUAAUUCCAACGAGAUUAUUACGAUGUUU